CCCUAUCUUCCGUGGGCGCUGCAGAUUUGAGGAAGCCUGCUCCUAGUACGAGAGGACCGGAGUGGACACACCUCUGGUGUAUCGGUUGUCACGCCAGUGGCAUUGCCGAGUAGCUAAGUGUGGAAGAGAUAACCGCUGAAAGCAUCUAAGCGGGAAACUCGUUUCAAGAUGAGAUCUGCCGGGGCCUUGAGCCCCCUGAAGAGUCGUUCAAGACCAGGACGUUGAUAGGUCGGGUGUGGAAGCGCAGUAAUGCGUUAAGCUAACCGAUACUAAUUGCUCGUGCGGCUUGACCCUAUAACUUUG
rnacentral:rRNA from 1 species